rnacentral:rRNA from 1 species
GACGAACGCUGGCGGCGUGCUUAACACAUGCCAGUCGAACGGAAAGGCCCUGCUUUUGUGGGGUGCUCGAGUGGCGAACGGGUGAGUAACACGUGAGUAACCUGCCCUUGACUUUGGGAUAACUUCAGGAAACUGGGGCUAAUACCGGAUAGGAGCUCCUGCUGCAUGGUGGGGGUUGGAAAGUUUCGGCGGUUGGGGAUGGACUCGCGGCUUAUCAGCUUGUUGGUGGGGUAGUGGCUUACCAAGGCUUUGACGGGUAGCCGGCCUGAGAGGGUGACCGGCCACAUUGGGACUGAGAUACGGCCCAGGCUCCUACGGGAGGCAGCAGUGGGGAAUAUUGCACAAUGGGCGGAAGCCUGAUGCAGCAACGCCGCGUGCGGGAUGACGGCCUUCGGGUUGUAAACCGCUUUCGCCUGUGACGAAGCGUGAGUGACGGUAAUGGGUAAAGAAGCACCGGCUAACUACGUG